GGAAUCCGACUGUCUAAUUAAAACAAAGCAUUGCGAUGGCCGCUGGUCGGUGUUGACGCAAUGUGAUUUCUGCCCAGUGCUCUGAAUGUCAACGUGAAGAGAUUCAUCAAAGCGCGGGUAAACGGCGGGAGUAACUAUGACUCUCUUGUCUCCUAUGGCAUGCACGCCUUGGAUUCGGGGUGAGAGCAGAUGGUUGCUUGCUCGCGCAAAGUCGAACUCCCACCUGCUCGUGGUGUCCGCCGCAAGACUAGUGAGCCUAAAGGGGGUGCAUCCCUGGCGAACUCGUCUUCAACGGGAGCUCUCGCAUUCCUUCGGGGGGGGUGACCCUGCCCCCCCACACCGGCUUGGCUAUCAUGGAAAAGGGACUCCUAAGACCCUGACCGAGUGGUCGGGGUUCC
rnacentral:ncRNA from 1 species